GGGGAUAUAGCUCAGCUGGGAGAGCACCUGCCUUGCAAGCAGGGGGUCACGAGUUCGAAUCUCGUUAUCUCCA
rnacentral:tRNA from 4 species